UAUGUGAUCGUCUCUCGCAUAUCAAUAAGCGGAGGAAAAGAAACUAACAAGGAUUCCCCUAGUAACGGCGAGUGAAGCGGGAAGAGCUCAAAUUUGAAAUCUUAAAGGGUUUCCCUUUACGAAUUGUAGUUUAAAGAAGUGUUUUCUGUUGAGGUUUUGGUAAAAGUUCUUUGGAAUAGGACAUCAUAGAGGGUGAGAAUCCCGUAUUUGACCUAUACUUUCAACUCUGUGAUACACUUUCAAAGAGUCGGAUUGUUUGGGAAUGCAGUCCAAAAUGGGUGGUAAAUUUCAUCUAAAGCUAAAUAUUGGCGAGAGACCGAUAGCGAACAAGUACCGUGAGGGAAAGAUGAAAAGAACUUUGAAAAGAGAGUUAAACAGUACGUGAAAUUGUCAAAAGGGAAGCGUUUGACACCAGUGUUGUUUUUCUGAAAAUCAAUUAAAGAACUGUAUAUGCUAAGCUGUUUAGACUUUAUCAGCUAUCUGUUUAGUUUUGAGCUUUUCUUUAAUGCACUUUUCAGUUAACAAGUCAACAUCAAUUUCUUUUGCUGUAAAAAAGCUUGAGGAAGGUGGCUUGAGAUUCGUCUUAAGUGUUUAUAGCCUCUUGCCUAUGCAGUCGGAGAGAUUGAGGUCUGCAGCGUAGAUCCUUCGGGGCUAAAUGCAUUUGUGCUAAGUUAUAGCAUUUUAUAGACAACUUGUUGACUAUGAUUUGUCUUGUAGCUUACUCGCUUAUGUUAUUUUACCUACGCUUAGGAUGUUGAAGAUAUGCGCGACACG
rnacentral:rRNA from 1 species